rnacentral:rRNA from 1 species
UACAGAGGGUGCGAGCGUUAAUCGGAAUUACUGGGCGUAAAGCGCGCGUAGGCGGCUUUGCAAGUCGGGUGUGAAAUCCCCAGGCUCAACCUGGGAACUGCAUUCGAGACUGCAUUGCUAGAGUAUGGGAGAGGGAAGUGGAAUUUCCGGUGUAGCGGUGAAAUGCGUAGAUAUCGGGAGGAACACCAGUGGCGAAGGCGGCACUCUGGGCCAGUACUGACACUGAGGAGCGAAAGCGUGGGGAGCGAACAGG